GACUAGUGGUGGAUACAUGAAUUCACACAGGUGGUAGAAUUAUACAGACAUUAAUACACACACAGUGAAAGUAAAACUAGGAAAAUCUGCCUAAGGUAAGUAGAUGGAGUUACUGUCAAUGUCCUUGUUUUGCAAAACAUCACCAUUGUGAGAUCCUAUUGAGAAUCUGAAACACAGCCUUGGUUAUAUGCUUUUUUCUUUUUUUACCCUGUAAAAAUGUUCCUUUUACCCUGUAAAGUGUUCCUUUUUAUACUGGUAAGUAUAAAAGGAACAAAUUAUACUGGUAAGUAAAAAUUACUGAUAAAGUAACUUUAAACUGAAUAUGGGAAAUAACUGCUGUGCUGUAUGGUAUAAAUAAAUAAUAUAUUUAUCUAUAACAAUACUACUUUAUAUAAUGGAACUAGAUGUCACAAAUGGCUCUAGUACUAGUAAUGCAAUUAAUCAAUAUAAUGUUUUGUAGGGUUUUGUUUUUUAUACUCUUUGUUAAGCCUCCAAACUAGCAAGUACCCAUUACAGUAAAUGUACAAUGGAUUAUUUCUGUUUCCGCGUUUCAGUCAUUAACUCAUUAGUUGCAUAAUCUUAAGGUCAAAUUACCUUGUUGAAGGGGACAGUCUGGAUCCAUUCCGUGGAGCUCACAUCAAAAACGUCUGCUGCAUUUUCACUGUGCACUGAGAGGCACGGGGCAUUGUAACCUGGGAGGAGCAAAGACGGUAACAGCAAACAUGGGCUCCGUGAUACCUUUUUCAGUGAAUUUUUGAUGAGAUAAUUAUAGAUUCACAUGUAGUUGUAAAAAUAAUACAGAGAGAUCCCUUGUACACUCUGCCCAGAUUCAAUUCACAACAAAAUAAAACUUCAGUGUCUGGAUUACAAAUAAUUUAAAACAUAGCUAAAAAUGUAAAAGUAAAAACCUGCCGUUUUGCUAAGACCAGACCAUCAAAUAUUUAAGAGCAUUUAACUUCCAGGACUUGUGGAGUAUGCAUGACAUGAGCCACCAAAAAGAAGUUUUUAAAGGAAGAGUUAAAAUAAGUGAAAUUUUUUUCUACCUUCAUCAGUAUAAGCAGUGGAAAACACUUUUGAAAGGGCUGUCCCACCACAUAAAACGUUACAUUUGUGCUUUUCCAGCAUUCUUUUUUUUGUUUGGUUGUAUGUUUUUAUUUUUUAUUAUACUUUAAGUUUUAGGGUACAUGUGCACAACGUGCAGGUUUGUUACAUGUGUAUACAUGUGCCAUGUUGGUGUGCUCCACCCAUUAACUCAUCAUUUAACAUUAGGCAUAUCUCCUAAUGCUAUCCCUCCCCCCUCCCCCCACCCCACAACAGGCCCCAGUGUGUGAUGUUCCCCUUCCUGGGUCCAUGUGUUCUCAUUGUUCAGUUCCCACCUAUGAGUGAGAACAUGUGGUGUUUGGUUUUUUUGUCCUUUCGAUAGUUUGCUGAGAAUGAUGGUUUCCAGCUUCAUCCAUGUCCCUGCAAGGGACAUGAACUCAUCAUUUUUUAUGGCUGCAUAGUAUUCCAUGGUGUAUAUGUGCCACAUUUUCUUAAUCCAGUUUAUCAUUGUUGGACAUUUGGGUUAGUUCCAAGUCUUUGCUACUGUGAAUAGUGCCGCAAUAAACAUACGUGUGCAUGUGUCUUUAUAGCAGCAUGAUUUAUAAUCCUUUGGGUACAUACCCAGCAAUGGGAUGGCUGGGUCAAAUGGUAUUUCUAGUUCUAGAUCCCUGAGGAAUCGCCACACUGACUUCCACAAUGGUUGAACUAGUUUACAGUCCCACCAACAGUGUAAAAGUGUUCCUAUUUCUCCACAUCCUCUCUAGUACUUGUUGUUUCCUGACUUUUUAAUGAUCACCAUUCUAACUGGUGUGAGAUGGUAUCUCAUUGCGGUUUUGAUUUGCAUUUCUCUGAUGGCCAGUGAUGAUGAGCAUUUUUUCAUGUGUCUUUUGGCUGCAUAAAUGUCUUCUUUUGAGAAGUGUCUGUUCAUGUCCUUCACCCACUUUUUGAUGGGGUUGUUUUUUUCUUGUAAAUUUGUUUGAGUUCAUUAUAGAUUCUGGGUAUUAGCCCUUUGUCAGAUGAGUAGAUUGCAAAAAUUUUUCUCAUUCUGUAUGUUGCCUGUUCACUCUGAUGGUAGUUUCUUUUGCUGUGCAGAAGCUCUUUAGUUUAAUUAGAUCCCAUUUGUCAAUUUUGGCUUUUGUUGCCAUUGCUUUUGGUGUUUUAGACAUGCAGCCCUUGCCCAUGCCUAUGUCCUGAAUGGUAUUGCCUAGGUUUUCUUCUAGGGUUUUUAUGGUUUUAGGUCUAACAUGUAAGUCUUUAAUCCAUCUUGAAUUAAUUUUUGUAUAAGGUGUAAGGAAGGGGUCCAGUUUCAGCUUUCUACAUAUGGCUAGCCAGUUUUCCCAGCACCAUUUAUUAAAUCGGGAAUCCUUUCCUCAUUUCUUGUUUUUGUCAGGUUUGUCAAAGAUCAGAUGGUUAUAGAUGUGUGGUAUUAUUUCUGAGGGCUCUGUUCUGUUCCAUUGGUCUAUAUCUCUGUUUUGGUACCAGGCGCCUCCGCAACCUCCCAGGAGCUCUGACCAAGGCGCCUCACUGGGGUGGGGAACUUGCCUCACCUGGGGCCAUUUCAUAAUUCUGAAUCAUGUGUGAUAACGGAGAACUGGAAGACAAGCCUCCAGCACCUCCCGUGCGAAUGAGCGGGACCAUCUUUAGCACUGGAGGCAAAGACCCUUUGUCAGCCAAUCACAGUUUGAAACCUUUGCCUUCUGUUCCAGAGGAGAAAAAGCCCAGGCAUAAAAUCAUCUCCAUAUUCUCAGGCACAGAGAAAGGAAGUAAAAAGAAAGAAAAGGAACGGCCAGAAAUUUCUCCUCCAUCUGAUUUUGAACACACCAUCCAUGUUGGCUUUGAUGCUGUUACUGGAGAAUUCACUGGCAUGCCAGAACACUGGGCUCGAUUACUACAGACCUCAAAUAUCACCAAACUAGAGCAAAAGAAGAAUCCUCAGGCUGUGCUGGAUGUCUACGACUCCAACACAGUGAAGCAGAAGUAUCUGAGUUUUACUCCUCCUGAGAAAGAUGGCUUCCCUUCUGGAACACCAGCACUGAAUGCCGAGGGAACAGAAGCACCUGCAGUAGUGACAGAGGAGGAGGACGAUGAUGAAGAGACUGCCCCUCCCGUUAUUGCCCCACCACCGGAUCAUAUGAAAUCAAUUUACACACGGUCUGUAAUUGACCCUGUUCCUGCACCAGUUGGUGAUUCAAAUGUUGAUGGUGGUGCCAAGUCUUUAGACAAACAGAAAAAGAAGACUAAGAUGACAGAUGAAGAGAUUAUGGAGAAACUAAGAACUAUUGUGAGCAUAGGUGACCCUAAGAAAAAAAUAUACAAGAUAUGAAAAAAUUGGACAAGGGGCUUCUGGUACAGUUUUCACUGCUACUGACGUUGCACUGGGACAGAAGGUUGCUAUCAAACAAAUUAAUUUACAGAAACAGCCAAAGAAGGACUUGAUCAUUAAUGAGAUUCUGGUAAUGAAAGAAUUAAAAAAUCCCAACAUAGUUAACUUCUUGGACAGUUACCUGGUAGGAGAUGAAUUGUUUGUGGUCGUGGAAUACCUUGCUAGGGGGUCACUCACUGAUGUGGUAACAGAAACCUGCAUGGAUGAAGCACAGAUUGCCGCUGUAUGCAGAGAGAGUUUACAGGCAUUGGAGUUUUUACAUGCUAAUCAAGUGAUCCACAGAGACAUCAAAAGUGACAGUGUACUUUUGGGAAUGGAAGGAUCGGUUAAGCUCACUGACUUUGGUUUCUGUGCCCAGAUCACCCCUGAGCAGAGCAAACGCAGUACCGUGGUCAGAACGCCAUACUGGAUGGCACCAGAAGUGGUUACACGGAAGGCUUAUGGCCCUAAAGUCAAUGUAUGGUCUCUGGGUAUCAUGGCUACUGAGAUGGUAGAAGGAGAGCCUCCAUACCUCAAUGAAAAUCCCUUGAGGGCCUUGUGCCUAAUAGCAACUAAUGGAAUCCCAGAACUUCAGAAUCCAGAGACACUUUCCCCAAUAUUUCGGGAUUUCUUAAAUCGAUGUUUGGAAACAGAUGUGGAAAAAAGGGGUUCAGCCAAAGAAUUAUUACAGCAUCUUUUCCUGAAACUAGCCAAACUGUUAUCUAGCUUGACACCACUGAUCAUGGCAGCUAAAGAAGCAAUGAAGAGUAACCGUUAACAUCACUGCUGUGGCCUCAUAUUCUUUUUUCCAUUUUCUACAAGAAGCCUUUUAGUAUAUGAAAAUUAUUACUCUUUUGGGGGUUUAAAGAAAUGGUCUGCAUAACCUGAAUGAAAGAAGCAAAUGACUAUUCUCUGAAGACAACCAAGAGAAAAUUGCAAAAAGAAAAGUAUGACUUUUAUAUGAACCCCUUCUUUAGGGUCCAAAAGGAAUUGUGGACUGAAUCACUAGCCUUAGGUCUUUCAGCAAACCGCCUAUCAGGGCCAUUUAUCAUAUGUGAGAUUUGCAUUUUACUUUGCUGACUUUGUUGUAAUAGAUCCCAUUCAUUGUCCCCUUUGGGGUAUUUCCAAUACUUGAAUGGCAGAUUGGAGUUUUUCAGAGUAUUUGUUUCAUCUGCUAGUCUUUCUCUCCUUCAUAGCUUUCCUUUUCCUGGACUUGCUCCUUUUGAGUUGCUUUUGAGUUUCUCAUGCCUAGGUAAGUGUAAUAGAAAUUAUGUAGCUCCUUAUGUUGGCAAAGGAGCUCUAUAUAGUUUCACUUUUUAUAAAAGUUAGGACCAGCUGUUGUUACAUGUAAUAUUUUAGUUCAGAACUUGACCUGAAGGAAGGGAAGAAAAGUAUUUGAUUUUUACCUUUUUUAAUAAAUGUGAAAAAGUCAGUUUUAGAAAUUUUGUGGUAGUAAGUUUGGCAUUUGUUACAUGUAUAGAGAGAAGACUAAUAAUCUCUAUUUAUAACUAAAUCAUUGAGAUAGAAAAAGAUUCCCAUUGACCGUGUAUUUCUUCCCAUUUCGUCUUCCCUUCUGCCUGUUUCCCCUUCAGGCUUGGCUCUAGGAACCAAAGUGAUUUGUUCUUGUUCCAACCUGGGCUUUGUGACUUUGGUUAGUGCCACUACCUUCUUCCCUCCUUUCCCCCUUCAAUUUGGAAAUAAAUUUCUGUAUAUGUUGCAAUUUUAGGUUUAUUUUUGUUCUUUUUGUUUUUCAUUAAUCCUCUUUCACCUCACAGAUACCCCCCUCCCAUGGCAAAUAAUAUAAUAACCAGUGAAUUUUCGGGAAUUUAAAAUUAGCUUUUUUCCACUUAAAGGAGAACAAUAUUUGGGACUAGCAGGCGCAGAGUGAGAGACGUGAACCUUGGUGAUCUCUGAUAUAGUGAGAAGAGAUUAUACUCAUGAAAGAGAAUGUUAGUGUUACAGAGAAGCAGCCGAUAGGAAAUCAACUGUAGAGACUUGGAGGCGGCGGCAUUGCUCCAGGUCAUCAUCAGUGUGGUAUUAUCUAUGAGAACUUGAGCGACAGAGUAUUUCUUGAUGAAUUUAUAGAUCAUUUGAGAUGUUGAGUUACUUUUGUUUUGUUUUCAAAUAGGUAGAGACUAUUAAUGUAAAAACACAAGAAAGGAAAAUGAAAUGUGCGUGUUGAGAGCAAUAAUUUGUUUCUUUUAAAGAUUCUGAAAGAUCUGAGACCUGUAGCAUUAAUUAUUUGAGUGCCCUCCCUUCUCCCCUCCCCUCCCUUUCUCUUCUCUUCUUUCAUCUCCUCUCCUUCUCCUUUAUUCAUUGUUUUGCUUUGGAAUAGGUUGUUCAAGUAUUUGGUUUGGUUCUGGCAUUUUGUUCCCACCAUCCCCUUCCCCCAUUAACUUCCCCCCUGCUUGCCAUCCUGCAGUAGUAUAAAUCAUGAAUAAAAAAUAAUUUUGCUGUUGUAGUAUACAUUGGGGAAACUAGCAGGGUUUUAUUUCCGUUAUUUUAUUCCCACUAUAUCUAUGAUAAGAUACAAUUAUAAGGAGAGAAGUGACUGUUUUUUAUUGAUAAGGCAAGAUUUUCAGAAAAAUGAGUAAAAUAAUUAAUGAAACAUAUUUAGAGCACUUAAUGGUCUCUGUUUUCAAUAUAAUUCUUGAUUUCAUUUUUCUCUGGAAUAUAUUGGCCUUCUACAGCUAUUACUGAAUUACAGAAACUGGUUUAUUUCUGUCAGAAAGCUGCAGUGCCACCUGAGUUCCAAAUUUUAACAUUCUUUGUAAAUGGAUGGAUUAUGAUAAAGAAGAUGCUACCAAUGAAAUAGAAAACCAACGAGAUGAGAAGACUGUGAUCCUCAUGCACUCAGAGGCACUUCCCUUCUAAGUCAAAGACCAUUCUCACUGACUAUGUGCCAAGGCCUCACUUCAGGCUUGUGACUCAACAAAGGGCUUUUCCAUUGAUAGAAGCAGUUUGGGAUUUGUAGCUACAACUUCUUCAAUAGUUACCUGCAUGUCCAUUGCUGGCAGCUGACUUCAGUCAUUAAAACCUGGCUCUUUGGUUAAGGGAGCUACACUGUGGUUUAUUCUUAAGUUACAUGGAUAAACUAACCUCUAGCAGAAAUAUAGUUUGGUUAAUUUUGAGAUGUGUCAUUUUUAAACAAAAUCUUAAAAGCAAUACAGAAUUGUGAUUUAUUAAUUUUAAAUUAAAACAUUGAGAACUUGUUGAAAGAAAAAUUAUAUCUGAAUCAAGAUUCAUGUUUUUUAUUUUUUAUUUUAUUUUUUUUUUUUUUUGAUACAGAGUCUCACUCUGUCACUUAGGCUGGAGCGCAGUGGCAUGAUCUCAGCUCACUGCAACCUCCGCUUCCUGGGUUCAAGCAAUUCUCAUGCCUCAGCCUCCUGAGUAGCUGAGACCACAGGUGCGUGCCACCACACCCAGCUAAUUUUUUGUAUUUUUAGUAGAGACAGAGUCUCACCAUGUUGCCCAGGCUUGUCUCCAACUCCUGAGCUCAGGCAAUCUGCCCACCUUGGCCUCCCAAAGUGCUACAAUUACAGGCACGAGCCACUACACCUGGCCUCAUGUUUUUUAAAUAAUUGCCUUUUAUAUUUACCCUUUUUGUCAUCACUUUAGAAUGAAAAUUCCCAUUUAAAUCUAAAAGUUACUUUAAUAGUCCUCUUGUGUUAUUAGGACAGUGUUACUAUAGUACUUAUUUAUUAUAUUUUAGACUUUUUCUUUUUUCUUCUGCUGCUUUUAGGGACAGUUAAAACUGGGAAACUAUGAAACAUGGAACAUUUUAUCCUACCUAGAAUAGUAAAUGAGUAAUUGUGAAGCGUAAGACACCGAGGCUAAUACAACUCUGUCUUCAUGUGUCGAGUGCCUGGCACAUAGUACUAAUUCUCUUCCCUUUAACAUAUAAAUGUUAAGCUGCUUAGAGUCUAGUAACCACCAACUGUAAAUGAGCCUGUGCCUUUAACAAGAAAUUUUAAACUACCUAUGAGUAUUUCUUUAUAGGGCUCACUUAAAUACGUUUGUAUAUACUGUAUUCUAGCCAGAAUAAUUUUAGAUCUGAUCAGGUAGUAGCUAAAAUUAGAAAAAAACAAAAUAGAUGCUUAAAGAAUUUGCAUCCAUUUUUGAGUCUAAAUCUUUUUAAAUAUACUGAGAUCCACAUCUAGUGAAAUGUCAGUGUCAAAAUAUUAUAGAUUAUAGCUAAAAUCCAGAUUAAUACUCAUUUGGGGUUUUUUAUAGUGGAACUUCAUAGUAAUACAAGAAGCAGAUUGUCUUCCUGUCUCUGCUGCUCCCACAGUAGGUAUUGAAACUGGUGAAAUCAGUUUUUUGAUAGUGUGUGUAUAUAAGAAAAAAUAUAUACACACAUUCUUUUUUCUCAGUCAACACACUGAUUGAACACUCUGGCAAAGAUGCUGUGGUAGACGAGGUUGGAGUUAGAAAGAAGAAGCAAACACUGGCCUGGCCUUGAAAGAACGGAAGUCUUUCCCAUUCACUUCUCUAGAAUGCUGCCAAGACAGAGGCAGAAAGAAAUGGAUGAUAAUUCUGUCAAGCACACUUCUAUUCUUUAUUAAGAGAAACAAUUAUGUUUGGAAUUCAGCAUCUUUGGUUGGAACGCAUUGGCUUUUUUUUCUUGUUGUGAUAGAAAUGGAAUUAAGUAAAAUUAUAGUUUGUCUUUUCUGUUGUCUUCAAAUUUUAUAAUGUCUUUUAUUUUUAAUUUAAUCCCAUUCAAUUAUUUAAUUGUUAUACAUUGACAUUAACUGCUGUAUUUUAUGACUUUGUUCAAUAAUUUUGUUCUUUCAGGGCUAGAAAUAAACUUUUUUAAGAAAUGUGC